rnacentral:rRNA from 1 species
CCUACGGGGGGCAGCAGUGGGGGAUAUUGCACAAUGGGGGGAACCCUGAUGCAGCGACGCCGCGUGGGUGAAGAAGCGCCUCGGCGCGUAAAGCCCUGUCAGCAGGGAAGAAAAUGACGGUACCUGACGAAGAAGCCCCGGCUAACUACGUGCCAGCAGCCGCGGUAAUACGUAGGGGGCAAGCGUUAGCCGGAGUGACGGGGGGUAAAGGGGGCGGAGACGGCGAUGCAAGCCAGGAGUGAAAGCCCGGGGCCCAACCCCGGGAAUGCGCUUGGAACUGCGUGGCUGGAGUGCAGGAGAGGCAGGCGGAAUUCCUGGUGUAGCGGUGAAAUGCGUAGAUAUCAGGAGGAACACCGGUGGCGAAGGCGGUCUGCUGGACUGCAACUGACGUUGAGGCCCGAAAGCGUGGGGAGCAAACAGGAUUAGAUACCCCAGUAGUC